CAGAGGCCCCAGUUGUUAAGUGAAGCCCUUCAGUUGGUGAAUCAGUAACCGGGCUGUGAAGUGAAUCCGUCUUCCCCAUUGACGCUGCUUGUCAGAGGCUUACGAAAGGGGGGUUGCAUGACCUCGGGACUCUGCGACCGUCAUAAAUAUGAACCAGUUGCCAAGCAUCUGAAUUUUGAUCACAGGGAUGCUGCAAACGUAACUGUGAAAAACGGUCAUAAGUCACUAACCGAACAGUUGUAAAUCGAGGAGUACCUGUGUUUCCUCUUUCACCGCUUGUAAAGGGUAUGAAGGGUGUUGAGGGAGGGACCUUCCUUCUGCUGCAGAAAUACAUCGCCCAUCGUAGAGGACAGGCACUCGGAGGAAAAAGUGCCCAUAUCGAUUGAUGCCACGGAUGGAAACCUAGAAAUGACUACUGAUCUACCAAAGUGAGAUUGAGCCUGGAAAGUACUUAGAUGGGUGACUAUCAAGAUUGCAAAUGAAGACUGAAAAGUUGGGGGGGUGGAAAUCCCACAAGAAAGCAAUGGCAAACUACAUGCAUAUCAUUGUCAAGAAAGAUGCACAGGCAUAUCCAUGAAUUUACUGGGAGUUGAGGCCAAGACAAAUGCAACUUUUAUCAAAUUGUGGCCCAAAUUCCAGCUUCCAGAAUUCCCAGCCAGUAAGGCCAUUGCUGUGAAUCUUAGGAAUUGAAGAUUGUGAUCCUAUAGCAGGGAUGUUAAAUUUGAUUUCAUUGAGGGCCUUAUCAGGGUUGAGUUUGACCUAGGGGACCAGGGUGGGCGUGGCCAGGAUGGGCAUGGCCAGCUUGACAUCAAUUGUGUCAGGGGCAUCUGGUGGCCCUAGCGCUCUGCCAGCAAAAACAGGCUCUAGAGCUCCGUUUUCAGCUGUGACGGCCUCCUGCCACCAUCUGCCAGUGAAAACAGAGCUUGGAGGGAUGCGUGCAGCCUUCCCGAGCUCCAUUUUCACCGGCAGAGGGCAGCAGGAGGCCGUCACAGCUGAAAACGGAGCCUGGGCUCUUGCGAGCUCCAUUUUCACUGGCAGAGGCAUCGCGGGCUGGUCCUUUGUUGUUUCUAGGCUGGCCCUUUGGGCCAGAUCUAAGCACCCCAUGGGGAUCCAGCCCCUGGACCUUGAGUUUGACACCCCUGUCCUAGAGGAUGUCUAGGAUAUCUGAUCCAAUGCCUGGAUAAGAUUCCAUUCAAGCAAUGUGUCUUAGACCAGGAAGUAAUUAUGGGUUUUUCAAAAAUUGUUUCCUUUUAUAUGAAUUUACCUGGUGAAUCCUCAUAGCCUUUGAAUAUUGAGCUUGUAGUCUUGUGUAUACUUGCUUGGAAACACAGUUCCACUGAAUGAAACUUGCUU